rnacentral:rRNA from 1 species
UACGGAGGGUGCAAGCGUUAAUCGGAAUUACUGGGCGUAAAGCGUACGUAGGUGGUUUGUUAAGCCAGCUGUGAAAUCCCCGGGCUCAACCUGGGCACUGCAGUUGGAACUGGCAAGCUAGAGUAGGGUAGAGGGGUGUGGAAUUCCAGGUGUAGCGGUGAAAUGCGUAGAUAUCUGGAGGAACAUCAGUGGCGAAGGCGACACCCUGGACUCAUACUGACACUGAGGUACGAAAGCGUGGGUAGCCAAAGGG